GUUUGAAGCAUUGAGUCUGAAGCAUUGUGGACUUCUUUAAGACCUUUCAUAUCCAAACAAGGUUUUGGCAAUAUUAAGCUGGAAUGACCUCUAACAUUAUGGAUAAUCUAGAUGGAGACUUACAACGAACUGUAAUAUUCGUUCCCUUUACUUAUCGUCUUAUAAAAUUUCAUUUUGUGUACAUAUCAGCUACUUAUUUGUUUUUAUAUGUAUAGGUUUAGUUUCUUCAACAAAGAAAUGUCGAUGUAGUGAUUCGUGAUGAGCAUGAUUUCAAUGUCGUUCGUAUUUCUAA